AUUGAACGCUGGCGGCAGGCCUAACACAUGCAAGUCGAGCGAGCGGCGGACGGGUGAGUAAUGUAUGGGGACUGCCCGAUAGCUGGGGAUAACUACUGGAAACGGUAACGAAUACUACAUACUAUCGGAUGGCCCAUAGGGGAUUAGCUAGUCGGUGGGGUGAUGGCGUACUUGGGCGACGAUCCCUAGCUGGUCUGAGAGGAUGAUCAGCCACACUGGGACUGAGACACGGCCCUGACUCCUACGGAGGAAGCAGUGGGGAAUAGUGCACAAUGGGCGAAAGCGUGAUGGAGCCAUGCCGCGUGUAUGAAGAAGGCCCUAGGGUUGUAGAGUACUUUCAGUCGGGAGGCGUUACCGACAGAAGAAGCACCGGCUAACUCCGUGCCAGCAGCCGCGGUAAUUC
rnacentral:rRNA from 1 species